rnacentral:rRNA from 2 species
GAGCACGUAGGUGGGUUUGUAAGUCAGAUGUGAAAGCCUCCUGUUCAACGGGAGAAUUGCAUCUGAAACUACUGAUCUUGAGUGUAGGAGGGGAGAAUGGAACUUCUGGUGGAGCGGUGAAAUGCGUAGAUAUCAGAAGGAACGCCGGCGGCGAAAGCGAUUCUCUGGCCUAUUACUGACACUCAGUGUGCGAAAGCUAGGGGAGCAAACGGGAUUAGAUACCCCGGUAGUCCUAGCCGUAAACGAUGGGCACUAAGUAGAGGGGUU